rnacentral:rRNA from 1 species
UACGUAGGGUGCGAGCGUUAAUCGGAAUUACUGGGCGUAAAGUGUGCGCAGGUGGCCGCGCAAGUCGAGUGUGAAAUCCCCGGGCUCAACCUGGGAACUGCAUUUGUGACUGCACGGCUGGAGUGCGGCAGAGGGGGAUGGAAUUCCGCGUGUAGCAGUGAAAUGCGUAGAUAUGCGGAGGAACACCGAUGGCGAAGGCAAUCCCCUGGGCCUGCACUGACGCUCAUGCACGAAAGCGUGGGGAGCAAACAGG